rnacentral:rRNA from 1 species
GACGAACGCUGGCGGCGUGCCUAAUACAUGCCAGUCGAACGGAAAGGCCCUGCUCUUGUGGGGUUCUCGAGUGGCGAACGGGUGUGUAACACGUGAGUAACCUGCCCUUGACUUUGGGAUAACUUCAGGAAACUGGGGCUAAUACCGGAUAGGAGCUCCUGCUGCAUGGUGGUGGUUGGAAAGUUUCGGCGGUUGGGGAUGUACUCGCGGCUUAUCAGCUUGUUGGUGGGGUAGUGGCUUACCAAGGUUUUGACGGAUAGCCGGCCUGGGAGGGUGAACGGGGACAUUGGGACUGAGAGACGCAGCAGAAGCGAACGGGAGGCAGUAGGCGAGAGUAUGACGCAGUGGGGGGGAGCGUGAUGCGAAGGUGCCGCGAGCGGGAUAACGGGCUUCGAGUUGAGAACCGCUUUCGCAGGAGAUGAGGAGGGAGUGACGGUAAUGAGUAAGAAAGCAACGGCUAACUACGUG